AAAGUNGUACAGGUUUCCGUAGGUGACCUGCGGAGGAUCAUUA
rnacentral:rRNA from 1 species